GUGGGAGGGGGCUUGCUCCCGAUAGCGGUGGGUCAGUUAACAGAUAAGUCACUGACAGACCGCAAUCGGGAGCAAGCCCCCUCCCAC
rnacentral:misc_RNA from 1 species